CUAUAUUUUGACACUAGUCGUCACUUAGGGAUUUAAAGAGUGCAUUGCAACCCCUAAGUCUAAAAAACCAAGACUUUCAAAAGUUUCCAAAUCUUGGCACCAAACGCCAACUUAGUCCAGUCUCACCACCAAACAUAGCUNAAAAACCAAGACUUUCAAAAGUUUCCAAAUCUUGGCACCAAACGCCAACUUAGUCCAGUCUCACCACCAAACAUAGCUAGCUUGAAAAGCAACUAAAUUGGAACAUUUCUUGCACCUAUAUUUUGACACUAGUCGUCACUUGGGGAUUUAAAGAGUGCAUUGCAGCCCCUAAGUCUAAAAAACCAAGACUAUCAAAAAUUUCAAAAUCUUGGCACCAAGCACCAACUUAGUCCCCUCUCACCACCAAACAUAGCCAGCUUGAAAAGCAACUAAAUUGAAUUGCACCUAUACUUUGAAACUAGUCAUCAUUUGGGGAUUUCAAUAGUGCAUUGCUGCCCCUAAUUCUAAAAAAAAGACUUUCAAAAAUUUCCAAAUCUUGGCACCAAGCACCAACUUAGUCCAGUCUCACCACAAAACGUAUCUUGCAUGAAAAGCAACUAAAUUGAAACAUUUCUUGCACAUAUAUUUUGACACUAGUCGUCAUUUGGGGAUUUAAAGAGUGCAAUGCAGCCCUUAAGUCUAAAAAACCCAGACUAUAAAAAAUUUCCAAAUCUUGGCACCAAGCACGAACUUCGUCCAGUCUCACCACCAAACAUACCUUGCUUGAAAAUAAACAAAAUUGAAACAGUUUUUGCACCUAUAUUUUGACACUACUCGUCAUUUGGGGAUUUAAAGAGUGCAUUGCAACCCCUAAGUCUAAAAAACUAACACUUUCAAAAAUUUCCAAAUCUUGACACCAAACACCAACUUAGUAUAGUCUCACCACCAAACAUUGCUUGCUUGAAUAGCAAGCAAAUUGAAACAAUUCUUGCACCUACACUUUGACACUAGUUGUCAUUUCGGGAUUUAAAGAGGGCAUUGCAGCCCCUAAGUCUAAAAAACCAAGACUUUAAAAAAUUUCCAAAUCUUGGCACAUAGCACCAACUUAGUACAGUCUCACCACCAAACAUAGCUUGCUUGAAAAGAACCUAAAUGGAAACAUUUCUUGCACCUAUAUUUUGACACUAAUUAUCAUUUGGGUAUUUAUAGAGUGCAUUGCUACCCCUAAGUCUAAAAAACCAAGACUUUCAAAAGUUUCCAAAUCUUGGCACCAAACGCCAACUUAGUCCAGUCUUACCACCAAACAUAGCUAGCUUGAAAAGCAACUAAAUCGGAACAUUUCUUGCACCUAUAUUUUGACACUAGUCGUCACUUGGGGAUUUAAAGAGUGCAUUGCAGCCCCUAAGUCUAAAAAACCAAGACUUUAGAAAAUUUCCAAAUCUUGGCACGAAGCACCAACUUAUUUCAGUAUCACUACCAAACAUAGCUUGCUUGAAAAGCAACUAAAUUCAAACAUUUCUUGCACCUAUAUUUUGACACUAGUCGUCAUUUCGGUAUUUAAAGAGUGCAAUGCAGCCCCUAAGUCUAAAAAACCAAGACUAUCAAAAAUUUCAAAAUCUUGGCACAAAGCACCAACUUAGUCCACUCUCACCACCAAACAUAGCCAGCUUGAAAAGCAACUAAAUUGAAACAUUUCUUGCACCUAUACUUUGAAACUAGUCAUCAUUUGGGGAUUUAAAUAGUGCAUUGCUGCGGCUAUGACUAAAAAACAAGACUUUCAAAAAUUUCCAAAUCUUGGCACCAAGCACCAACUUAGUCCAGUCUCACCACAAAACGUAGCUUGCUUUAAAAGCAACUAAAUUGAAACAUUUCUUGCACAUAUAUUUUGACACUGGUCGUCAUUUGGGGAUUUAAAGAGUGCAAUGCAGCCCCUAAGUCUAGAGAACCCAGACUAUAAAAAAUUUCCAAAUCUUGGCACCAAGCAUGAACUUCGUCCAGUCUCAUCACCAAACAUACCUUGCUUGAAAAGUAACAAAAUUGAAACAGUUUUUGCACCUAUAUGUUGACACUACUGGUCAUUUUGGGAUUUAAAGAGUGCAUUGCAGCCCCUAAGUCUAAAAAACUAACACUUUCAAAAAUUUCCAAAUCUUGACACCAAGCACGAACUUAGUACAGGCUAACUACCAAACAUAGCUUGCUUGAAAAGUAACUAAAUGGAAACAUUUCUUGCACCUAUAUUUUGACACUAGUCGUCAUUUCGGGAUUAAAAGAGUGCAAUGCAGCCUGUAAGUCUAAAAAACCAAGACUAUCAAAAAUUUCAAAAUCUUGGCACCAAGCACCAACUUAGUCCACUCUCACCACCUAACAUAGCCAGCUCGAAAAGCAACUAAAUUGAAACAUAUUUUUACCUAUACUUUGAAACUAGUCAUCAUUUGGGGAUUUAAAUAGUGCAUUGCUGCCCCUAAGUCUAAAAAACAAGACUCUCAAAAAUUUCCAAAUCUUGGCACCAAGCACCUACUUAGUACAGUCUCACCAAAAAACGUAGCUUGCUUGAAAAGCACCUAAAUUGAAACAUUUCUUGCACAUAUAUUUUGACACUAGUUUUCAUUUGGGGAUUUAAAGAGUGCAAUGCAGCCCCUAAGUUUAAAAAACCCGACUAUUAAAAAUUUCCAAAUCUUGGCACCAAGCACGAACUUCGUCCAAUUUCACAACCAAACAUACCUUGCUUGAAAAGUAACAAAAUUGAAACAGUUUUUGCACCUAUAUUUUGACACUACUCGUCAUUUUGGGAUUUAAAGAGUGCAUUGCAGCCCCUAAGUCUAAAAAACUAACACUUUCAAAAAUUUCCAAAUCUUGACACCAAACACCAACUUAGUACAGGCUAAGCACCAAACAUAGCUUGCUUGAAAAGAAACCAAAUUGAAACAUUUCUUGCACCGACAUUUUGUCUCUAGUCGUCAUUUGGGGAUUUAAAGAGGCUAUUGCAUCCCCUAAGUGUAAAAAACCAAGACUUUAAAAAAUUUCAAAAUCUUGGCACCAAGCAUCAACUUAGUGAAGUCUCACCACCAAACAUAGCUUGCUUGAAAAGCAACUAAAUGGAAACAUUUCUUGCACCUAUAUUUUGACACUAAUUAUCAUUUGGGCAUUUAUAGAGUGCAUUGCUACUCCUAAGUCUAAAAAACCAAGACUUUCAAAAGUUUCCAUAUCUUGGCACCAAAAGCCAACUUAGUCCAGUCUCACCACCAAACAUAGCUAGCUUGAAAAGCAACUAAAUUGAAACAUUUCUUGCACCUAUAUUUUAACACUAGUUGUCAUUUGGGGAUUUGAAGAGGGCACUGCAGCCCCUAAGUUUAAAAAACCAAGACUUUAGAAAAUUUCCAAAUCUUGGCACGAAGCACCAAACAUAGCUUCCUUGAAAAGCAACUAAAUUCAAACAUUUCUUGCACCUAUAUUUUGACACUAGUCGUCAUUUCGGGAUUAAAAGAGUGCAAUGCAGCCUCUAAGUCNCUUGAAAAGCAACUAAAUUCAAACAUUUCUUGCACCUAUAUUUUGACACUAGUCGUCAUUUCGGGAUUAAAAGAGUGCAAUGCAGCCUCUAAGUCUAAAAAACCAAGACUAUCAAAAAUUUCAAAAUCUUGGCACCAAGCACCAACUUAGUCUACUCUCACCACCAAACAUAGCCAGCUCAAAAAGCAACUAAAUUGAAACAUUUCUUUUACCUAUACUUUGAAACUAGUCAUCAUUUUGGGAUUUAAAUAAUGCAUUGCUACCCGUAAGUCUAAAAAACAAGACUUUCAAAAAUUUCCAAAUCUUGGCACCAAGCACCAACUUAGUCCGGUCUCACCACAAAACGUAGCUUGCAUGAAAAGCACCAACUUAGUCCAGUCUCACCACAAAACGUGGCUUGCUCGAAAAUCAACUAAAUUGAAACAUUUCUUGCACCUAUACUUUGGAAUUAGUAAUCAUUUGGGGAUUUAAAGAGUGCAUUGCUGCCCCUAAGUCUAAAAAACCCAGACUAUCAAAAAUUUCCAAAUCUUGGCACCAAGCACGAACUUCGUCCAGUCUCACCACCAAACAUACCUUGCUUGAAAAGUAAGAAAAUUGAAACAGUUUUUGCACCUAUAUUGUCUUUUGGGGAUUUAAAGAGUGCAUUGCAACCCCUAAGUCUAAAAAACUAAAACUUUCAAAAAUUUCCAAAUCUUGAACCAAGCACCAACUUAGUACAGUCUCACCACCAAAAAUAGCUUGCUUGAAAAGCAACCAAAUUGAAACCUUUCUUGCACCUACAUUUUGACACUAGUCGUCAUUUGGGGAUUUAAAGAGGGCGUUGCAGCCCCUAAGUCUAAAAAACAUAGACUUUAAAAAAUUUCCAAAUCUUGGCACCAAGCACCAACUUAGUACAGUCUCACCACCAAACAUAACUUGCUUGAAAAGCAAGUAAGUGGAAACAUUUCUUGCACCUAUAUUUUGACACUAAUUAUCAUUUAGGCAUUUAUAGAGUGCAUUGCUACCCCUAAGUCUAAAAAACCAUGACUUUCAAAAGUUUCCCAAUCUUGGCACCAAACGCCAACUUAGUCCAGUCUCACCACCAAACAUAGCUAGCUUGAAAACCAACUAAAUUGAAACAUUUCCUGCACCUAUAUUUUGACACUAGUCGUCACUUAGGGAUUUAAAGAGUGCAUUGCAGCCCCUAGGUCUAAAAAACCAAGACCAAAAGUUUCCAAAUCUUGGCACCAAGCACCAACUUAGUAUAGUCUCACCAAAAAAUAUAGCUUGCUUGAAAAGGAACUAAAUGGAAACAUUUCUUGCAC
rnacentral:lncRNA from 1 species